GCAGACACAUUGAGCACUAAAAUUUCGAACGCACAUUGCGCCAUCGGGUUCAUUCCCGUUGGCACGUCUGGCUGAGGGUCAGA
rnacentral:rRNA from 1 species